GACGAACGCUGGCGGCGUGCCUAAUACAUGCAAGUCGAGCGAACCAAUAAGAAGCUUGCUUUUUGUUGGUUAGCGGCGGACGGGUGAGUAACACGUGGGUAACCUGCCUGUAAGACCGGGAUAACUCCGGGAAACCGGUGCUAAUACCGGAUAGAUUAUCUUUCCGCCUGGAGAGAUAAGGAAAGAUGGCUAUUGCCAUCACUUACAGAUGGGCCCGCGGCGCAUUAGCUAGUUGGUGAGGUAACGGCGUCACCAAGGCGACGAAUGCGUAGCCGACCUGAGAGGGUGAUCGGCCACACUGGGACUGAGACACGG
rnacentral:rRNA from 1 species